rnacentral:rRNA from 1 species
GGGGAAUAUUACACAAUGGGCGAAAGCCUGAUGCAGCAACGCCGCGUGAGCGAUGAAGGCCUUCGGGUCGUAAAGCUCUGUCCUCAAGGAAGAUAAUGACGGUACUUGAGGAGGAAGCCCCGGCUAACUACGUGCCAGCAGCCGCGGUAAUACGUAGGGGGCUAGCGUUAUCCGGAAUUACUGGGCGUAAAGGGUGCGUAGGCGGUCUUUCAAGCCAGAAGUGAAAGGCUACGGCUCAACCGUAGUAAGCUUUUGGAACUGUAAGACUUGAGUGCAGGAGAGGAGAGUGGAAUUCCUAGUGUAGCGGUGAAAUGCGUAGAUAUUAGGAGGAACACCAGUAGCGAAGGCGGCUCUCUGGACUGUAACUGACGCUGAGGCACGAAAGCGUGGGGAGCAAAC